UAGAGCCUUGGGAUCCUGAAGAAAUGUUUAUCCCAAAGUCUGCUGGUUAAAACAAACAAAAGAACCAUCUGUGAGAGCAUGUCUCAAUUCCAGCUGCUUGAAUCCAACCAUUACUUGAAAUCCGUGGAUACUAAAAUCUCCUUGGCCUCAUUAUGUCCUAAUUGGAAGAGAGACUGGAUGUUGCUGGUGUGUUUUGCACUACCUUCUCUAGAAAGCUCCUGGCAGCCAUGGAGAUGAGCUGUUCCUGGCAGAAGAUAGUGCCAUCUUUGCAUGAAAAGGAGUCUGAGCUGAGAAGGACAGCAGCUGAGAAUCCUGUAAACGACAUUAAUGAGCUGACCAUGCUCCUGAAAAAGAAUGUCUGGGAGUUCCAGGUGGGGAAAUGUUUUGAGAAGCCUGGAUUUGGAAUAUCCUGUCACUACAGCCCCCACAAUUCAGAAUGGAGCUCAUGGAAAAGUGGUAAAUGUACAGAGCUUUUUCCUCCGAAGACCAAAGCAACAUCUGCAAGAUUUUCUUCAGGAAGACUGGACUGAAGCUGUCCUGCUCUGCUCCUCUGUUCCAU